rnacentral:rRNA from 1 species
GUGACAUACCACUUGUUGCCUCGGCGGAUCAGCCCGCUCCCGGUAAAACGGGACGGCCCGCCAGAGGACCCCUAAACUCUGUUUCUAUAUGUAACUUCUGAGUAAAACCAUAAAUAAAUCAAAACUUUCAACAACGGAUCUCUUGGUUCUGGCAUCGAUGAAGAACGCAGCAAAAUGCGAUAAGUAAUGUGAAUUGCAGAAUUCAGUGAAUCAUCGAAUCUUUGAACGCACAUUGCGCCCGCCAGUAUUCUGGCGGGCAUGCCUGUUCGAGCGUCAUUUCAACCCUCAAGCACAGCUUGGUGUUGGGACUCGCGUUAAUUCGCGUUCCUCAAAUUGAUUGGCGGUCACGUCGAGCUUCCAUAGCGUAGUAGUAAAACCCUCGUUACUGGUAAUCGUCGCGGCCACGCCGUUAAACCCCAACUUCUGAAUGUUGACCUCGGAUCAGGUAGGAAUACCCGCUGAACUUAAGCAUAUCA